CCUUUCUUGAAGUGGAUUUUGGCAGUUGACUGGAGAGGAAAAAAAUGGCUGAGACAAACUGUUUAGCGGUGGUGGGAAGUGGCCAAAUGGGUUCAGGCAUAGCUCAGCUUGGUGCCAUGAAUGGUCUCCACGUUUGGCUCCUUGAUACUGACCCUGUUGCGCUUUCCAGAGCCUCCAAAGUCAUCUCUUCUUCCCUUCAACGCUUUGUUUCCAAAGGUCAACUCUCCCAGGCUGCUAGUACUGAUGCUUUAAGACAUCUGCAAUUUACUUCAAAUUUGGAAGAACUGCGAUCAGCAGAUUUUAUUAUUGAAGCAAUUAUAGAAUCUGAAGAUGUGAAGAAAACGUUGUUUCUUGAACUAGAUAAGAUUGCAAAGAGUUCUGCCAUUUUAGCAUCAAAUACAAGUUCCAUCUCCAUUACUCGAUUAGCAUCUACAACCAGCAGACCGCACCAGGUGAUUGGGAUGCAUUUUAUGAAUCCUCCUCCUAUAAUGAAGUUGGUUGAGAUUGUGCGAGGUGCAGACACAUCAGAUGAGACAUUUCAUGCAACAAAAGCCUUGGCAGAGAGGUUUGGUAAGACAAUAAUAUGCUCUCAGGACUAUUCUGGCUUUAUUGUGAACCGGAUCCUGAUGCCAAUGAUAAAUGAAGCAUUUUUCACACUCUAUACUGGGGUGGCAACCAAGGAAGAUAUUGAUACAGGAAUGAAGUUGGGAACAAACCAUCCAAUGGGUCCCUUGGAGCUUGCAGAUUUCAUAGGAUUGGACGUGUGUUUAUCCAUAAUGAAAGUUCUAUAUACUGGUCUAGGUGACAGUAAAUAUGCCCCUUGUCCCCUUCUUGUGCAGUAUGUUGAUGCAGGUCGCCUUGGGAGAAAACGUGGUAUUGGGGUGUAUGACUACCGUAAGCUGCCUGAACCUAUAAAACCAUCUCCUCGACUCUGAACAUUUAUUAUUUCCUGAAUAAUGAAUAACAAAAAUAGUGCCUAAAGCUCAUAAGUCGUAUCUUUGAGUUCAAAUGUGGCAAUACAGAGUCCUGCAAUCAAGUGUUGUAUAAGUAUGUACCUUCAUCCGUGACUUCACAACCACAAUAUUGACACAUCAAUAUUGCACCCUAGAUUACUGAGAUGAGGUUACCAGUUACCAUUUUCAUUUAUUCCCUUUAUCUCUUAGUACAAUAUUGUUGGGGAACGAGAUGGGGAUUCUUCAGUUGGGAAGCAUGUGCUUUGGAAAAAUAACAUGGGGGGUGGGGUACAGGUGCAAUGAAGGGCAAACAUGCCCAAAUUCCAGGUAAGAAAGUUCCAUAACAAAAAUGUUAAAUUCCCUUGUCAGCUACAUUUGCCAUUUUUUGUUCGUAUCUUUUAAGGAAUUCAUAUCUAAUACAAUGCCUAACUAUUUUUCUCUCAUGACUAUGGGUACAUGGAUAUGAGUUCGAAUGCAACUAGUUCAUUCAAAUAAUGGUAGCAAUUGGGAUUACUCUCAGAUCACUAGUGGCUGCUGCUCUGUUUGGGCAAGCAUUAAUUGGUUGUAUAAAAUGAGGGAAUCCCUUUUCAUGCUUUUUAACAACAGAGAUAUUGGGUAGUACUUUUAUUGGCUAAUGUUGUUAUUGACAAGUUUCUCAAUUUCAACCUCAUGGUAAUAAUUUAAACGUAUGCAGCAUAUUGCUUGCCAGCUUAGGAAUCUUUAGUGUGACGCAAGGAAAUUAAAAGGAGGCCCUCCUUUUUGUAACAGAUCAUGGCCAAGCUUGACCCACAGGAUAGGAGCCUUGUUAGGAGUAUGAACUUCAAUGUUGAUCAUGGGGUAGACCCACAACCCUGGGCCACCUUUCAUACCCCUAACCCUAAAGUUGGAAUUAUUAGGCAGCAUCUUCUUUAUUGAAAGUGAUUGAAGUGGAAUCCAAUGGGGUAAUUGCAAAAUGUUGGAAAAUAUGAACAACAUUAUAAGUCAGGAAACAAGAUAGAAAAAGCUUAAACUUUCUUUCAUCUCUCUUUACAUAAGAUUUUUAGGGCAUUUGGAAACCAAGCAAAGCCCCAAAAAAAAAAAAAAGGGAAAAAAGCCAAGCCAUGAAGUUCUUGUUUCAGUGUCCUUGCUGCUCUUGUUUCUGCUUCAUGAAGCCCAAGAAAGGGAAACCAAAGGUGAAGGAUGCCAAGGAAGAGAAAGCAGGGAAGGAAGUGAAGGCAGAGUGAAAAUGCAAACUGCAAUUUGGCUGAAACGAUAUAUACUCCAUUUUCUUUCUUCUAUUCCUACCUGCUGCUCAAGUAAUUGUAUGUAACUUCCUUCAUUUAUCUGAGUUUACAUGGGAAUGCUGCCUUCUCCACCCUUAUAGUAUUGCCUUGUACUGAAAUAAGAAAAUGGUAUUUUACUGCCAUGUAUGUCCUGCAAAUGUUGCUUGAUCAGUAGCAUACUUACGGCUCUGCUUUCUUCUAAUUUUAUGGGAUAUCGUUAGAAACAGCAGAUCUGCUUGUAUAGCUACAUUUUCCUGAGAAAUAAAUGAUAAAAUUCAUGGGGGUCUACUUCACUAUCCAA